UGCGUAUGAAGCAGAAUAAGUUUUGUCAUGAUAAGGUAAAUUAAUUUAUUAAUUUAGUUUUAUUAAUACAAAAUAUUAUUUUAAUUAUGGUAUUGAAUAGUUAAAAUAAAAGGUUAUCCGCUUUUUGGAGUAAACUUACAUGGGAUUAGGUUCUUGUUAAAUAUAAAAGGUUAAUAAGCCGAAGAUCUCUAGUUGGUCUGAGAGGAUGGUCAACCACAUUGGAAUUGAAAAAGGUCCAAACGUAUUUAUGCGGCAGCAGUGAGGAAUAUUGGACAAUGCGCGGAUAGCGUGAUCCAGCAAUAUUGCGUGAGUGGUAAGAUGUUAAUUGUAAAAGCUCUGUCGACAAUGAUUAUAAUGAAAUUAGUUGUAUAGGAAGUUCCGACUAACUUCGUGCCAGCAGUCGCGGUAAUACGGGGGGAACGAGUGUUAUUCAAAAUAACU
rnacentral:rRNA from 1 species